rnacentral:rRNA from 1 species
GAUGAACGCUGGCGGCGUGCCUAAUACAUGCAAGUCGAGCGAACAGACGAGGAGCUUGCUCCUCUGACGUUAGCGGCGGACGGGUGAGUAACACGUGGAUAACCUACCUAUAAGACUGGGAUAACUUCGGGAAACCGGAGCUAAUACCGGAUAAUAUAUUGAACCGCAUGGUUCAAUAGUGAAAGACGGUUUUGCUGUCACUUAUAGAUGGAUCCGCGCCGCAUUCGCUAGUUGGUAAGGUAACGGCUUACCAAGGCGACGAUGCGUAGCCGACCUGAGAGGGUGAUCGGCCACACUGGAACUGAGACACGGUCCAGACUCCUACGGGAGGCAGCAGUAGGGAAUCUUCCGCAAUGGGCGAAAGCCUGACGGAGCAACGCCGCGUGAGUGAUGAAGUUCUUCGGAUCGUAAAACUCUGUUAUUAGGGAAGAACAAAUGUGUAAGUAACUAUGCACGUCUUGACGGUACCUAAUCAGAAAGCCACGGCUAACUACGUG